GCGACUCCUGCUUGCUGGGCGCGGCUUGGGCCUCCAGGCUGCGCAGCGCAGCCGCUAUCGGGCGGACUGCAGUUCUUGCCGAGCAGCUACUGAAAAUUACCAAGGAGAGGUAGGAGAUAAGAGAUGCCUAUAAAGGAGCUGAAAUCUACCAGGGUAAGACAAAACAGUAAAUUAAAACCAUAUAGGAUAAUCUUGUAGGUAUACAAAGUACUGGUGAAGUUCAAGUAUAAUUGGUGUAAUUUAGAAGUGAGCAGGAAAGGGAUGAAGGCAAAAAAAAAACUAGGAAAUCAAGUUAUAGUCUUCAACAAAGCUGAUCAGUUUGGUUUUGGCUGUUAAAUUUGAGGUGCUUGUAGUACUUCCAAAAUGUGAUGCCCAUUAAAUAGAUACAUGGGUCUGGAGCUCAGAAGAGAUUUGAACUACCAAACAGAUGGUAAUUGAAACCAAGGAAAUCCUUGAGACCAUCAGAUAGAGUUUGUGGAGUGAAAGUAGCCAGAUGAUGGAAAUAAAGGAGCCAAGAGGUGUUGUAGAACCCAAAGAAUG
ensembl:lncRNA WARS2-AS1 WARS2 antisense RNA 1